rnacentral:rRNA from 1 species
UACGUAGGGGGCAAGCGUUGUCCGGAAUCAUUGGGCGUAAAGCGCGUGUAGGCGGCUCGAUAAGUCUGCUGUGAAAGUCCAGGGCUCAACCCUGGGAUGCCGGUGGAUACUGUCGAGCUCGAGUCCGGAAGAGGCGAGUGGAAUUCCUGGUGUAGCGGUGAAAUGCGCAGAUAUCAGGAGGAAUACCGAUGGCGAAGGCAGGUCUCUGGGCUAUAACUGACGCUCAUGCACGAAAGCGUGGGGAGCAAACAGG